UUUUCCGUAUACGCAUUCACAAUCGUCAGGUUUCAUUUUCCAUUGUUUUUGUUUUUAUUGGCAGCAUACAUAUACAAAUGACAUUAGAAAAUAGCAAGGUUUUCUCCUUCGCCAUUAGUAAUUUGGAAAAAAACACUGCAAUAUUUAAGAAAAAGUAUUCCAAUUAAAACCAACGAAACUAGAAAAUUAAAAUAUAGUUUUUUAUUUUUUAUUCAAAAGAAAAAAAAUUUGAUUAAAAUUACUUAAUGAGUGGUGGAGAUACAACGAAAUUGUGAUAAAUGAGUAGAGUAGAAUAGAGCACAGCCAUUUUUGUUUUGGCAAAAAACUAAUGUAUGAAUAACAAACAAGUUAAUUAGAAUCUUCCUAAUAUAGAUAAAUUGAAUAUAAAUUCUAACAGAAAAUAUUUAGUAUUGAAAAGAAAAAAAUUCUUGAAGGAAUUGAAUUGAAAUAAUCGUAUACGUACGUAAUUAAUGACAUCAUUUAUAAUGUCAAAUAUUUAGUAAAUAAAUUUUUAUUCAAUUCAAAUUUUUAGAAAUGUGCAAAAAAAAAAUAGAUUAAAAGCAAUGUACAUCUGUUAAAUUAUAUGUACAUUAGUUGGAAAAAGUUUGAUUUUGAAAAAUAUUUGCAAUGGACGGUUGGGGUUCAGAGGAAUUGAGUAAACUUUCAUUGCCAACUACUUCAAGUAGUACGCAAAAAACUAUAGAUAAUAUAUCAUCAAUCUCAGCUAAUUCGGCAACUGGCAACUUGCAAACAUUCCUAAAUACUAAAGAUAUAUAUAAAAACUCUAACAUACAUUCUACAAAAGAAGACAGUGAUGAUUCUUUAGAAAACAAUGAUGGAAAAGAAAAAACCGAUGCAACACCUGAAAACUUGAAAAAAAUCGAUGAUGUCAUUUUAACACCGACCACAUAUUGUAUUGGUGGUGAUGGUAGCACAAACAUAUUUGGAGAAAAACCAAAAACCACUAUAGAAAAUAAAAAAAACGAAGACAAUAGUAGCAAUAAUACCGAUACAAGUCAUAAUAAGAAUGUUAAUUAUGCUAAUGAAAUCAGGUCAUCAAUAAAAAUAUCGGGUGUAAAAAAUCAGCAUGGUGAAAAUAAAUUAUUCAAAAAUAAAAAUAAUGAAAAUUUGGAAGAUUUGAAAACAGGUGUUGAGGAAGAAUUAAAAAUAGUUGAAAUAGAUGACAUACCAGAUGACAAAAGUAAUAUAAAUAAUACAACAAUAUCUUCAAAUGAAGAAGAUUCUCCUACAAAACAAGAAGCAUCUUUGCAAAAUAGUUUUGCUUUUACAAUCGAUUUUGGUGGUAGUACAAGCAGUAAUAAUCCAAUUGCAGAAGCAAAAUAUAAAUCUAUGUUAGAGCGUUUUCAAAAUCGUCAUAAGCGUGGAGCAUCAAUGUCGAAAUUAGAAGUCAAAAAAUCUAUUUCAACAGAAAAGGAAGUAAAAAAACAGGUACCGGUUUGUUCAAAUUCUACUUCAAACAGCAGCAGUAGUGCUGUUAGUAAACGGGGUAGUUUAAAUCAGUCUUUAGUUUCCGGGAAUACCAUUAAUAAACAAGGAAAAUUGUCAGAGCAAGAAAGUACUUCUGAAGCUAACAAAGUAAAAAUGAGAAUUCGUGAUAGAAGUGCCAGCGGAGUAAGGGAUCCAACUAAAAGACAUAGUUGGUCUCCUCGUUCAAGUGCAAUCGAACAGGAUGGUUCGCUUAUAAUGAACAGUAAACCAAUCCCCAGACCAAGUAAAUUAGCGACAAAGACGAAUACAGUUCAUUCAUCAGAAGCGAGUAAUAAGCAGAUAAGUGCGUCUUUAAAAAGCUCUAAUAAAAAUAUUUCGAACGCCUCAGCGUCAAAUUAUAAUCAAAUUGAUUUUGCAAAGUCGAAAUCGUUUGCUUCCAGAACUUCUGCUAUGCAAAUGACACUGGGAAAAAUUGAUUUUUUGUGUCAACAACCUCCUUUAGACAAUUUGGCAGCUAAAGAAUUUCAUACUUGUGGCAGUGAUGAUGUUAGUGAAGCGGGUACAUAUACAUUGGAUGGUGACAAUUACACCGAAGAACAAAAAGAAUUGAUGAAUAUAGAUAAAUCAAAAUUAAAUCAAAUGCAUCAGCAACAUAGCGUUGUAGCAUAUGAUAUAAAGGCACUUAAUAAUAUAAAUCGCCCCACCGAUCUGCCUAUAAGUAAUAAUAUGUCCCCAUAUAGCAAUAAAGUUUCACUCCAAGGCAAUCAUCUUCAAAGAAAGAAUAUAUUGGAAGUGAGCUACCUUCACGAAUCUGCCGUCGAUAAACCUAAAAUAUCAUAUUUAGAUAAGUUUAAGUCUCGCAUGAAAGGGAAAAAAUCACCUGAGAAAUUGUUAGAGAACAAUAAAAUAAGUGCUCCAGCAAGUUCUCCAAGUGGCGAUGUGGGUACGUUUACAAGUAUAACAACAAGUGGAGUUUUAGCUAAAAAAUCUAGUCUUGACGCAAAACCAAAAUUGACUCGUAAAAGUAGUUUGACUACAUCUCAAAUAGACAGUUCCGAAUAUGUAAGUACAUCAUCAAAUUCCUGCAAUGUGGGCGGUAGUAAUGGAAUUUUAAAUUCAAAUAAAGAUAUGAAUAAUAAAAACUCUCAAAUGAGUCAUUCGUUUACUGAUCAUCAAAAAGCAGAAUAUCGCUUGAACGUUUUUACAAAUCAAACCGAUUCUCAGCUUAUGUUAAGUGACUAUGAAUUAGCAGGUACUCCUGAUAGUCCCAGAAGCGUCGAUUUGAAAAUAUCUGAUACUGCUGUUCUUAAAACCGCGCAAUCUAAAAAUGAUUGGAUUCAAGAAUGGGCUCGCAAUGCUAGAGCCCGCAGCGUUACUUCUUCAAUUAAGCCUACGGAUCAUAUCCAUCAUCGCGGCAAACUUGGCAGUUCAAGCGUAGCGGGAAACCCUUUGAUGACUCGCAGCUAUAAUUGUGAAUAUAUAGAAGAAAAUAAUUCCGUUUUUAGUGAUCAUGGUCAAGGUUCGACAGUGAUAUAUUGCAACAAACCGAUUGAACGAUUUAAAUCACAUGCUAUCGGUGAUUAUGGGAUGGAAUAUUCCUCUUCAGAUCCAAAUGUUAGCAGACGGUCUGCUGGCUCGCCGAAUUUAGAUUCGAAUUUAAAAACAAAUUUCUCACGGCCACCUUUAAGUCCAUCAAAAAUUCCGUCACCUUUGCAUUCCAUUGGUCGAACUCGCAGCAUUAGCAAAACUCGUUCUAGUCUACAAGAUUUAUCGCCCUCCGGCGUUACACAACAGCAGUUUCAACAUGCUCAGGAAUCAGAUACUUAUGUUCAAAAAACAAGUUCAGCUUUGUCAAAUCCUAGUCGAAAGAAUUCACUAAAAAGUUUAAAUUCAUCUAAUCAAUCUCCAAAACGUUUGAGUGGUACUCACCAUUAUUCAGCUGAUGAGUAUAGCCCACCUGGUCAUCAUUUGGGGAAUUACAGUCAAAAUAAUAUAUUUCGAGGGGACAGUAGUAAUGGAUUACAUAGACGUAAUUUGUCUUUCGAUUACAGAGCGCAACCCUUUCAAAAUCCAAGCAAUAAAUCAAACACGGUUACAAACUAUAUGUCACAAAGUUAUUCAAAUGAAAUGAAUAAUUUCUCAGAAUAUCCAAAUGAUUUCCGUUUACCAAGGCCACGUAAAAAUUCAUUCGAUUCUUCUUUAAGAAGCCAUCAACAACUUUUUUCUAAUCAACUAACUGGGUCGUCAUCACCAAUUCGCCAAGUAAAUUCAGGAACUUUAAUUCAACAACAAGGAAUACGUAACCAAAGAAUUAUUGAUCAAACAUAUUCGAUUAAACAAAAUCAAAUUCAAACAAAUAAACGUCAAAUAUCACAGCAACAAGAUGUUCAACAACAAAAUUCUUCACCAUUAAGAAGGUCCUCAUCGUUCUCUGCAAAACCUUUAUCAAGUAGUAAUAAUAAUAUUGGAAACCAUCGCUAUACUUCGUUAUAUAAAACUGUUACACCUAUUACAGCACAAAAAUAUGUUUCAGCUAUUACGCAACAGCAAAAACAAAAUAAUAAAAUUCCCUUGCAGAAGUCUGCAAGUAGUACUAGUUUUCGCAAGAUGUAUAGUGAUUAUGACGACACUGUUGCAUAUUACAUUAAUGAUGAAGAUGAUUUGGAUUAUUGUUCAUCUGAAGAAUUUGAUGAGCCAUAUGACGAAAAUUCAACUAACGCGCCAACAAUGGGAUCAGCUACUGAAAUUACUGAACCUCCUUUAACAAAUACAAGGUAUAACAAAGCAUUAUUGAUGCGUAUAGAACGCAGUAAACAAAGAGUAGCAGGUAAUAAUGGUACAAAACCAGCACCAGGCGGGGUAAUGGCAUGCCCCAAUACUCCUGAAUUACCAAGACGUUCUGUUCAAAGUGCUAAUAGCAUUCAACAGCAACAACGUGCAUCAAUGCGCCAAUCUGUUCCACGUGAUUCUAGCUUAAAUCGUUUGAAAGGUGAAGUACCAAAUUCUUUAGCAUCAGCAAAAAAGCAAAUUCUACAAACGGCAGCUAAAAGUACCACAAUUCCUUCAGCCCAAUCUAGAUAUUUAGAUAUAUCAAAGUAUAAACCCGCACAAGGUGCAACAUUUCUUAAAAAAGAUGAAUCAAAGAGUACACUGCAGAAACAACAGUCAGAUAUUAAAAAGAGUCCAACAAACACAACAAUAACAUUAAGCCGUACAGAUACUACAAGAGCUAGCAAUAGAAGUGUUAAAUCGGCUAGUAGUGUUAGUAAUAGGCCAUCUAGUGCUUCAAAUAAAAAUGCCAGAGAUAGUUCAGUAUCUAAGCAAAAGGAAAUGGAGCUUGAAAUGUGGCGUAGGCGUGCAAAAUACGAUCCGAUGAGAGCAGCUGCAGAAGAUAAACGCAAAAAAGAAGAAGCUAAAAGGCAAUCUCAACCAGCAAAAUUAACUGAAAGGCCAUCAAGAUCUCCCAUUCGUAGAGGAGAAUUUUGACCUAUGGGGAUUCUAAUUACUGAUUUAUAAAAUAUUAAUAAAAAAUUAUGUUAAAAUUAAAUGUACAAUAUGAACUUUCAAACACAGAAUCGUAUUCAAAUUUGAAAUGAAAAAAGAAAGUCCUUUUUUCUAACAGAAAUGUCCUUUUUUAAAAACUUUUUUUUUUUAUAAAUAUUUAUUUUUUUUUAUUAAUAUAAAAAGAUUUAUAUUCUAGUCAUUAACGAAAAAUACAAAUAAUGAAAAUAUUUAUAAAGUAAUAACGAAUCGUUAAUAUAAUUAUAAUAAACUUUCUAUUAUAAUUAAGAUUUAAUUUAUAUUUUUAAUUUAUUGAUAUAUGAAAUAAAAAACAAAAAACAAAAAGUGAAGCAGAUCUGAACGGUGAGAAAAAAAAAAGCGAAAAGAAUUCCAAUUGAAAAAUUCUAGUUUUCUUCGAUCGCAAUCAUAUCAUUGUGGUGUUGUUGGAUUAGGAGGUAACGAUGCUAUAAAUAAUCGUUGGACCGAGUCAAGUGAUGAAGAAGGCGCAUAUAUAUCAUCUAGUACAACAACUACCAAUU